AUAACAUUGAAUAUUAUGAACUUAUUAUUAAAAUUGAGACUAAAUCAGAAAACAAAUUUUAAAAUAUACUUAUUAUAAAUUAUGUGUAACAUAAGAUAUUAAUUUAGUUUUAUAUAAAUUCAAUUUUUAGAUGCCACCAUGCACACAAGCUCAAAUUGUUUCGCACUUAGGGAGGCUUGUAAGUCGCGAAGCCAGCUGUAGAAACUCUUCUGACUUACAACGGGAACCAUCUGUAGGGUGAUGACUGCCACACUAACUGAGCUUGAGAGCAUUCACGCAAUGAGUGUUUACCAAUCUUAACCGAUGCAGCACACCAGGGACAAGCCCCAUUAAUUUGGACCCCCCGUUUAAUAGAAGACUCGUCAAUAAGUCCAUACAUGCUCGUCGAAUGAAAUGGUGUACCUUGGGUGGAAUGGGCAUCGCCCAGCAAUGUUUCCAAAACAGGUUCGCAAUGAAGCGCUGGGGAGCACGAUGCAAGAUUUUGUGCUUGCUGAGACAGCGCCACAUAGUAUGCACUUCGCACAGUGAAGAAACCACGCUUAUGAUAAUGCCUGAUAACCUUAUCCUCCAAUCGAGAGCAACUCAGUGGAAUGGAGCAAAUCUGUUUGGCUUCGAACGGCAUAAAAUUUUGAUGGAUCACAGUUUCAUAUCACCUAUUUUCCUCAAGUACAAUCAGGCUAUCUACCGAAGCAUUCUCAUCCAAAAUUGCGGGAGGGGAUCACACCUUAAAACCAUUCUGCUGGGCUAACCAAUUAUCCUUCCAUAUUUUGAUAAGAGAUCCAUCACCCACUAUCCAACGAGAACCGUCUGUACAACCCAUCUAGACUGAAUGAUGCUUCUCCAAGCAAAGCUAGGAUGGAAACCCAAACUAGCUUUAAGAAAAUAUUUUCGAGGGUGGUAUCGUGCCUCCAAAAUUCUGUACACAUUAUUUGCAGCAAGCAUGGAGCCUCCUCCAGCUCGAACAUGGCAUGGCAUAAAUAAGUUUUUUUUUUAAUUUCCCCAUUGCUGCCGUCACAUUUUGUUUAAAGAACACCCAAACAUCCUGUUAAUGCAGUGCAUUGACACGAAAUUAAUUGAAGAAGAACAGUCACAAGUCAGAACAUUGAUGAAGAAUUACAUGAUUCAGUUUGGAAUCUACAGCCGUUUUUGCAUAGCAGGCAGAAGCUUCACAACAAUUCAAAGAUACAUCAUACUUGGACCAUCAAAAAGUGAUUUAUUCCAGGAAUCACAAGACUGAUUUUCCUAGUGUUCCUGUACAAUUAUAACAGCGAUUUCUUGUUAAAUUUAUAUGUGGGCAGACUAGCAGGUCAACUGGCCAUGUCCAAUCACUAGUUUAAACAGAAAAAGAUAGUAUCACUAUCCAGCCUCCUCCAGUAUGCAUUUACAAAAAAAAAAUAGAACAUCACUAUUAACCUCCACAACAUACAUGUCUGGGUAAACUGUGGGGCAAAAGAAAAAUGAGAACUUCUGAAAAACCUGACCGUUUGAAGGCUCUAAAACCUAGUUCUGCAUAAAAAUUGUUUUCUGGUUAUUUUUCUCUCUCCAAAUGAAGAAAAUCUAUUACCGAAAAGUGCAACACAGACUCAUCAUGUCUCCGAUGAUUCCUUGCUUCCAUUUCCAUCCUCUUUCCUUUGUAAAAGGGCCCCGAAAAUUGAAAAAAUGGCUACUAGUGUAAUUUCAAUGUGCUCAGAGCUACUAAUCUUUAAGUUAACCCAACUCAAUGCUGUCUUGAAAUUCCAAGAGAGUAUUAGCAUCACCAAGAAUUUUGGUGCACAUGCAUAACAAUAAGAAUUGAGAUCUCCAAGCUUGUCCAUUGGGAAGAAUAUUUUCCCCCAUGAAAUUUUUUUUACGCCGAGGAUGAUUCUCUGCUAAAAGUACUGGGUUUUCCAGUUUUGUGUCUGAUACUGCCUGGUGUAUAAAGUGUUCCAUCAAAUCUUUCCACAUAUGAUUCAUAGUUGACUGGAAAUCCACAUGGUCCUUCAGGAAGAGUUAACGAAGCAUGAGUCAUGACAAGGAUGGGUUUAAACCAAAUUGCACUACCAAAUACUUGGAACACAAGCUUCAUAAGAGGAAAAUCAUUAUAACUCAUGUUGAGGAGGUCAAGCCACUAAAAAAAAAGAACAAUAUCAGGUGGGGAUUUUCCAAUGAAUCUCUUCACAGAAAGCAUGAUCUUCCUAUUUCGUCUCAUAUUAUUUGUAGAUGAAGGUAAAAAGCCAGGGGUAUCAAUAAAAGUUACUCUGACUCCAUAGACAUUUCCAACAAUCUCUUGGAUGCGAUUAGUGGCUGGUUCAAAUGCAUCAGUCAUUGCCUUUCCCUGAUCAAAUAUUGAAUUUAUGGUGGCACUCUUUCCAACAGCUGUUUUCCAUAGGACAAGUAUUCUUUAAUUUGGGCAUGUCAAUUGCUUCUUGUUCUGUGGCUACUUUUCUGGCUCUUUUCAAAUCUAAUUCCCUUCCUCGUAUUGAUGUUGCUAGGUGUAUCCUAUACAAAAACUUCGCCACCAAAAGUUUGUCAUUCAAAUAACCUAACCGCUGAAGAAGCCGGAAAAACUUAACUUGGAGAUCCUCAAUCUUUGCCAAUGCAUCCAUCUUUUCAUAAUCACUGACAUUAUUAGAUCUGUUAGAAUCUUCCUACAGAAAGGGAUGAGACCCAUUCUCCUGAGUGUUAUCAGAAGAGCAUGAUGUAUCUGGAAGCAGUGGUGCAACCUCUGAACAUACCAUGUGAGCUGCAGAUAACAGGAAAGUAAGGUCUUUCUCAACAAAAUCAAUAUACAUUUUUAAGUCAGACUGAAAACAAAAACAUUUUCUGAUCCUACUAAAAUGAAUUCGCAGGAUGGAAAAUUUUGACUAAGAAACACUCCCAUGCGUAGAAAUAUAUGGCUUGAGUACUGUAUGGUAAUUAUUUCACAUAUAGAUAUCACCAUGAGGAAAAAACAGAUGAUUCCAAAGAUUCUUCGUAGUUUGCCAUCCGUUUAUCAACCAUGGAUCACAUAGGCAUGUUGACUGCACUGCACUGUACGUUGUUGUCACUAUGGACAGUUCCUUGAUCUGGUGACCCAAAAGGCAAGACAAGUAUCAUGUGAAUUCAUGAUAUGAGAAGGCCAGAAAGUAAGGCAUUUGAUCAGUUCAGUUUUAAUUGAGAUCCAUACCACCCCGCCAACCAAACCAAAAAAUACUUUUUAUGGAUACUAAGAACAAGAACCAAAAAGAACAUGUCACAUGAUCUAAAAUAUUACCCAAAAAACAUUGUGGUAAUCCUCAUUUCAGCAAGUGUGACAGGGCUCCCUAUUAUGAUUGGUAGUUAUCAUACAAGAAAGAUAAUACAUCACUAUCAUAGGACCUAAUUUGAAACCAUUUGAUUUCAUAAAGUAAAAAAAUCCUUCAAAGUCUAGUUUAGUAAUUACGUUUCCAAUAACAUCCUUAACAUACAAGACCAAGAUGAUGCCAUUACGGCAACAAAAGGCCAAAGUUCUUAAAAAGUUAAAACUAUUUGGUACCCUCUCCUUCGUCAAGAUUACCUAAUUCAAUUUUUGUUUAUUUUCUUUAUUUUUCCUCUUUUUUAAUGUAUGCUUGUGAGUGUUUCAUAAGCGGUAAGAACAGCCACUAAAGAUAGAAAAUGCAAGCAGAUGAAGAGUUCCAGUUACCGCAUGAUGAUUUCCUUUCGUGGUAUCCAAAAUUAUGUGAGGCAAAAGAAAAAUUCUUCAAUCAAUACUUAAUAGAAAUUAUGCUUGCCAGAAAGUUAACAAACAAACAUAAAAAAGAGGAAGCUAAAGAGGGGGGGUGGGAAAGAGUACCCAGAUACCUCGGGAAUUAGAAUCUUCAUCCAGUGGUCUCUCAGAGAAGAAACUGCCGCUGCCAGACAACGGUACAGACGAGGCAACAGACUUGGACCGUAAUUGAGAAAAAACCCAAUCUAAACAAAGAAAUCUUUCAGCUAUCAACACCCAACAAUCUCAACAACAAAACAGAAGAAUAGAAAAUUUUAAGAAAUCAAAUAGCAAGCAGAGACUAAAACUGAAAUUAAACCUGAAUCAGAUAUGUGAGCUGAAAAUGGUAUAAAUAUUGCAAGAACCAGCUUCCCAGCCCAAAAAAUGAAUGAAAGCCCCUCUCAAUGAAAUCCAAAAAUUACCCAACAGAAAAUUAGAAAAUAGGAAUGUGAAAAUCUAUCCAAAUUCCAAAACCCAUGUCCCGGUUUCCGGGAUUCCGCAUCUGUACGUUGAUAGCAAGAAACAAGAGAAGAAGCAAGAGGCGGAGAAGAGAUGCUCUAGACAAGACAGAUAUACGAUUGCUUGUUUCUUUUGGGAUUUUGCGAGCUCGAAAUUAGAAAAACCAACAAGAAGAAAAUUGAAAAAUGAAAAUAAACAAAAUAAAUUCGAUAAAUUGGGGGAAAUAUAAUCGCCUGCUCUCUCGACUUUCGUGGUUAUUAGCUUGCAUUUCAUGGCUGCCCAUGAAUCAACAAAAC
rnacentral:misc_RNA from 1 species